rnacentral:lncRNA from 1 species
GAGCUAAGUACUAACCUGAUCAAGAUAACCCUACCCAUCAUCGAUAGGGUCCGAGCCUAUCAACCCUCAAUCCGCUUCCAAACAGCAUACUCCGCCUCCACAACCUCGGUCAUCCUCAAUCUAUGUUCGAAGAUAAGCACUCUCAGGUACUAUAGUAUCCCGCUGUGCUCAGCAACCCCCAGUCUCUCCAUAAUCAAGUUACCAAGCUG